rnacentral:tRNA from 1 species
UGGGGUGUAGCCAAGUGGUAAGGCACCAGGUUUUGAUCCUGGCAUACCGAGGUUCGAAUCCUCGCACCCCAGCCA